rnacentral:rRNA from 1 species
AAUAGAUACCCCGGUAGUCCACGCCGUAAACGAUGGAUACUAGCUGUUCGGUCGCAAGAUUGAGUGGCUAAGCGAAAGUGAUAAGUAUCCCACCUGGGGAGUACGAACGCAAGUUUGAAACUCAAAGGAAUUGACGGGGGGCCCGCACAAGCGGUGGAGCAUGUGGUUUAAUUCGAUGAUACGCGAGGAACCUUACCAAGGCUUAAAUGUAUAUUGACAGGACUGGAAACAGUUUUUUCUUCGGACAAUUUACAAGGUGCUGCAUGGUUGUCGUCAGCUCGUGCCGUGAGGUGUCAGGUUAAGUCCUAUAACGAGCGCAACCCCUGUUGUUAGUUGCCAGCGAGUCAAGUCGGGAACUCUAACAAGACUGCCAGUGUAAACUGUGAGGAAGGUGGGGAUGACGUCAAAAUCAUCACGGCCCUUACGCCUUGGGCUACACACGUGCUACAAUGGCCGGUACAGAGAGCAGCCACUGCGCGAGCAGGAGCGAAAUCUAUAAAAACCGGGUCAACAGUUCGGAUCGGAGUCUGCAACUCGACGUCCG